CAGCUCUCACCUUUAAUUACCUUGAUGCAAUUCGUCAAAAUCUGAAAAUGCUUUUUCAAACACGAUUAUGAUUUCAGUGGGAACGAAGUCGUAUUCAGCACCAUCUUCAUUAUCAGAUUUCUUUUUUUUUUUUUUCUUAAAUCUACCAAGCAGAAACGUGUUAGGAAACCCAUGAAAUAAAAAUGGAACGUAAUGUUUUCUGCAUGGUUUCUGGAAGAAGAUUUCUUCUCUAAUGCACUUAGCUGCAAAACCACCCACAAUUUAUCACAUAAUUAAUUAUUUUCCUUGCAUACUUAACAACUGUUUAGUUGAUUUUACUUGGAAGGGGGAUGUUUAGGAUAUUUUUUUUACUUGUAUACAUUUAAAAUAUGCUAAAAAUGGGCUAAAAGAAACCUUUAGAAAAGCAAGUAACAUCCUAUUGAAAUUAUUCAGUCGGCAUCAUGCUGCAUCUUGUUUGCAGUUUGGAUGCUAGUUGUUAAAUAGAGAGGUUUUCAGUGAUGUGUUAAUUUACUUCUGUAUUUCUAUAACAGUUUUAGAUAAUUCAGUCCUACUGAGCAAAAUGAUAGAAAUGAUAACGAUGAGUUCUUCUAAUUCCUUUGUUUUAAAAUAGCAGGACUAUACGUAUGGAUUACUGUGAGGGGUAGAGCUGUGAAGAAAGACUGACAAGGGAAAGAUGGAAAGAUUUGUGAAGUGUGAGAAUAGCAAGGAACCGUCUACCAGUGGAGGACAAAACAGCAAGGAGGCAGGAAAAUACUCCUUCUCAGGGAAUAUUUUUUACUUUUGAUGUCUUUAAUCACACUCCUUGCUGUUUGGCCAUGCCAUCUGUUAAGGCCAUAUCCCUCAAUGGCUCUGCACAUGUGACUUCUUGUGCGUUUCAAUGGAAACUUUGUGCGGCUUAACUGGAUCGGCAGAUGUAAACAGAGGUGCUGUUUUUAAUGUCCAGAAAGUCACUGUGAGCUAAGUCUGCAUGUCCUGUUAGCCACCUCCCUGAGGAUGCGUAGGAUGGAAUAAAUGGCCAGAAAUUUCUGCUUCCAGGCACAUACGAGUACCUGCGGCAGCUGCUCUGCAGGUCCCCUGCUGUGCAAAUCGCCCUUCACAGAGGAAGAUCUUCCUGUCAGUGACUGACGAGAGGUGCCAGGAGCAGGCUAGGAGACUUUUAAAACCCUCGACUUGGCAAAUCAGCAGCGCUAUGAAAAACUAUCACUUUGUUACUUUGGGUCUUUUGAGGAGAAGACUUCAUAGACUUGAAAGGUUUCUGGAAGAAGCUGAAUAGAAGAGAGGGAGAUCCCCUUCAAAGAUCUUAGCUCCUGAGAGGCAUUGUUUGACAGAUUUUGGCACAGCCUCACACUGUUUACUAAGCACCUUUGAAAGCAGGUAGCCUUGGAAGAAACCUUUCUGGGGAAAUAAAAUCUUGAUGCAGGGGAGGCUGCUUUCA
rnacentral:lncRNA from 1 species